GUCAAAUAUAAAUCAGAUAUAACAUACAAACUAAGGUGUCAGUGUGUUCAAUGGGGCUACUGGUUUAUACCAGAUUACAGAUCAAGUUACUAGCAGAUGAAAGCUUUAUUUGAAUCGCAAAGUUUCGAAAAUGUUAGAAUCCGUUGUAAAACAGAUUCCUCUGUCUUGGACAACUCAAGCCCUGUUGCUGGGUCUAACAGUUGGUCUGGUAACGUAUUAUUCAUUUGGAAAGAAGAAAUACAAAUUGCCCCCAGGACCCUGGGCGCCUCCUUUGAUUGGUAACCUAAGAGAAAUAAAUUCUUCUCCGCCAAUCUUCAAAAAGUUAUUAAAAUGGAGACAAAAAUACGGUUCUGCGAUCACAAUAUAUUUCGGUCCAUUAAAGUGUGUAACAUUAAACAGUCCUGAUUCUGUCAAUGAAGCUUUGGUAAAGAAAGCAGCUGAUUAUGCUGGUAGAUUUCAGACUUGGUCAAUGGGUUGUUUCUCGGACGGCUACAAGAAUAUUAUAUAUUCUGAUGUCAAUGCGUCAUGGAAACAGCGUAGAAAGAU